CCCUUAGAUGUUCUGGGCCGCACGCGCGCUACACUGAUUCAUGCAACAAGUUUUUUCCUUGGCUGAUAGGCCUGGGUAAUCUUUGAACGUGAAUCGUGAUGGGGAUAGAUGAUUGCAAUUAUUCAUCUUCAACGAGGAAUUCCUAGUAAACGCAAGUCAUCAGCUUGCAUUGAUUACGUCCCUGCCCUUUGUACACACCGCCCGUCGCACCUACCGAUUGAAUGGUCCGGUGAAAUCUUCGGAUCUGAGAGAUGUCUGAUUAAUUUCGGACGCCUUUUGGAAAAGUUGCUUAAACCUUACCAUUUAGAGGAAGGUGAAGUCGUAACA
rnacentral:rRNA from 1 species